GACGAACGCUGGCGGCGUGCUUAACACAUGCAAGUCGAACGGAAAGGCCCUGCUUGCAGGGUGCUCGAGUGGCGAACGGGCGAGUAACACGUGGGUGAUCUGCCCCUUACUUUGGGAUAAGCCUGGGAAACUGGGUCUAAUACUGGAUAGGACCAUGCUGUAGGUGGUGUGGUGGAAAGAUUAGUUUCGGUAAGGGAUGAGCUCGCGGCCUAUCAGCUUGUUGGUGGGGUAAUGGCCUACCAAGGCGUCGACGGGUAGCCGGCCUGAGAGGGUGGACGGCCACAUUGGGACUGAGAUACGGCCCAGACUCCUACGGGAGGCAGCAGUGGGGAAUAUUGCACAAUGGGCGCAAGCCUGAUGCAGCGACGCCGCGUGGGGGAUGACGGCCUUCGGGUUGUAAACUCCUUUCAGCCAUGACGAAGCCCUUGUGGUGACGGUAGUGGUAGAAGAAGCACCGGCUAACUACGUGCCAGCAGCCGCGGUAAUACGUAGGGUGCGAGCGUUGUCCGGAAUUACUGGGCGUAAAGAGCUCGUAGGUGGUCUGUCGCGUCAUUUGUGAAAGCCCGGGGCUUAACUCCGGGUUGGCAGGUGAUACGGGCAUGACUGGAGUACUGUAGGGGAGACUGGAAUUCCUGGUGUAGCGGUGAAAUGCGCAGAUAUCAGGAGGAACACCGGUGGCGAAGGCGGGUCUCUGGGCAGUAACUGACGCUGAGGAGCGAAAGCAUGGGUAGCGAACAGG
rnacentral:rRNA from 1 species